CGUUCACCUACGGCCGGUCAGGUUGUACCGAGCAGUGCCAGUGUGUACAGAACAACACGGAGUUCUGCCGGUCUCUGACGGGCGAGUGUGUGUGUAAAGCCGGCUGGGAACAGUCUACCUGCUCUACACAACACGUCUACUACCAGCCGGCUGAUGUUGACGAAUGUAGAGACCCUAACAUUUGUCCGGGGGAUUUCUCGACAUGUAUCAACACAGUUGGAAGCUACAGGUGUGCUUGCAAACCUGGACUUAAUCAAACGGAUCAAAGUUGUAGCGAUACGUGUACACACAAAGACAAAAGCUGUUCUGGUAUUUGUGGAGCUACGUCUUUGGAACCUUACAGAGAACAAUGCUACUGCCCCAAGGGAACGUACCUCAACUCUACAGAUGGUCAGACUUGUAUUGAAUGCAGCGACUGGACGUACGGAGAAGAUUGUAAACACACAUCUAGCUGUAACAGACAGAACACAAAGUCACUCAACAAAACAAACGGCUACUGCACGUGCGACAUCCACUGGGAGUCAACCAACUGUGACGUCGACUUUAACGAGUGUAACGGUGCUCACCCGUGUAACCAGACCCGCUCAUUUUGUCGUAACACACAAGGGGCAUUCGAGUGCGC